CUUUAGCUUUUGUAUUAUCUAUUCUAAAAUUUUAUAUUCAUUUAAAAUUUAAGAAUAUUAAACUUAGAAAUAUUACUAAACUAGUUAAUUUUAAAGCUUGCUAAACUUUGUGCCAGAGGCCUCGGUCACACUUAUAGUAAAAAUAAUAAUCUAAUGAAUUUGAAGUUUCUAGAAUUAAUGUUUACGUUCUUUUCUAAGUAGAAUUAUCAGUAUUUUAAGAUCUUAUUUCGAAUUUAAAAUAAUCUUAACGACUCGGAUUGGAUACCCGAUUAGUAUUAUUUAAAAAAUUAGAGCAAUAAAAUAGAAUUGAAACCCGAACAGGCUGGCAGAGUUGUAUAUGAUUUAGGAAUUUUGAGACUUAAUGGACAACCCACAUUAUUGGUUUAACAUCUAAAUUCUAGUAUAGUCGAAAAUAAAUAAUUGUGUAUUUUAAGUAAAACUCAUUAUAUUUUUAGAUCUUUAUAAGAUAUUGUUAAAUGUUUUGAAAUUUACUAUUUAAUUGAAAGCAAAAUUUUAAUUAUAAUUAAAUUUGAGUAAAACUAAAAUGUAAGAAGUUGUAAAUUUUAAACUUCUGAUUUAGACUCUAUAACUGGUACAGAUCGCCCGUCACCUUGGUAUCAUAUCCAAGUAAGUCGUAGCACAGUAAGUUUGCUGGAAAGGGAACUUA
rnacentral:rRNA from 1 species